rnacentral:piRNA from 1 species
UAUAAGGUGGAUGAAAAUGACAAAAUUAGCC